CCUGGCCGCGCGGCCGGGAGCCGCGGGACCGCCGUUGGCCGCCACUCACCCAUUGAGCGGGCGGGGCUCUGGGAUUCCGCACGCUUCUGCAGCCCCCGGGGCCAGCCUGCAACGCCUACAGACCACGUUUAGACCACCUGCUCAGUGUCAGGACUGUAUUAGGGGCUGGGAAUACAAGGACCCGGCAGUGAACACGACAAACCCCACACCUCCCUAAAAAGGACAAACAUUUCUUGACUCAGUCAAUAUUGAGUUGAGUCCCAUCCGUGAGCCAGCACUGUGUGCUAGGUAUCCAAGGCGCAGUAGUGAAAGAGACAGCCUGGCAGGGAGCGGAGGAAGCAGGCGAUGAAAAUGCAGUGUUAAAGGGAUGGACGGUAUCACGGGUGCAGAGAAAGGAUCGCGAACUGGAGCCUGUUGGGGGGCGGGAGAGGGGUUCUGGCUGACAGUAGGUUUCAGGAGGAGCUAAUCUGAGUCGAGGACGGAGAGUACACGUUUAUCUGAUGAAGGAAGAUGAGCUAUUUGGGAAGGAGGGAGGCAGAGGGGACAGCAAGUACAAAAGUUGGAAGACAAGAGUGGGCAGGGCUUGAGAGGCAGUUAUUCAGACUGAGAGGCAGGGACAAAGAGAGGUGGAGAAAUGAAGCGACAAGGAUAUGAGACCCACAGCUAUGGGUGAAGACAGAUGGAGGCAGAGAUGCUCUAGGACACAAACAGAGAAACAGGCAUGGCAAGACUCAGAACUUCAGUCACAUACACCCCUCUGCACACACACAAGCAUCGGGGAGGACUUCUUGGAAUAUCCAAGGAAUUUGCCAGAGGAGCCCAGUCUGAGUUACUAGUUUCAAUAUUUGAGAGAGAGCGAGAGAGAAAGAGAGCAAGCCACACAGGUGCACACAAGCAGGGGAGAGGUAGACAGAGAGGGAGAGAGAGAAUCCCAAGCAGGCUCUAUGCUGUCAUUGCAGAGCCCAACUGGGGCUCAAUCCCAGAGAGAUCAUGACCUGAGCUGAAACCAAGAGUCACGUGCUUAACCGCCUGAGUCACCCAGCCUCCCCCGGAGUUCGUAGUUUCAAAGCCGUCUCAUCAACAGAACUGCUUGGACAGCCUACUAAUAACCCAGAUUUCUAGGCUUCAUCCUAGAUUCACUGCCCCUUAAUUUCAAGGUUCAAGAACAUGAAAUGGAAGGGAUAAAUCUAGGCCACUGACUCACGCCAGCUCUGAAUGAGGAGGUCCACUUCCAGCAUGCCACGUGUGCCCUGGCCAAUGAGUCAGAAGCAGAAGUCUGCUACAAGGUUUCUGGAAAGCUCUUGCUUUCUUCACAAGGGGAACAGAUACCACGCCUUUCCCCUUCCUGACCAGAAUAUUGAUGUGAUAUCUAGACUGUAACCAGGAAAGAAACGCCAAGAGAAUCACAAAGACGCUUGUUCUGACUGUGUGCUCACUCAACCAAUGCCCACUGCAGCUUGCCUCCAGACUUGGUAUGUGAGAAAUGUAAUUCCUUCUUUAUUUCAGUUACUGCUACUCAGACUUCCUGGUACUUGCCCCUGACACAUUCUUUUUCUUUCUCUUUUUUUUUAAUGUGUCUUUUCUUUUUUAAAUGUUUUACUAUUUUAGAGAGAGAGAGAAACAGAGCCUGAGCGUGGGAGGGGCAGAGAGAGAGAGGGAGACCCAGAAUCCGAAGCAGGUUCCAGGCUCUGAGCUGUCAGCACAGAGCCCAUCACGGGGCUUGAACUCACGGCCCGUGAGAUGGUGCUGAUAAUGAUUACAUAACAAUCUAUAUACCUAGGUCGUUGCUUAAAAUUUUAUGUAGGAUAGGGGUGCCGAGGUGGCUCAGUUGGUUGAAUAGUCUGACUCUUGAUUUCGGCUUAGGUCAUGCAUGAUCUCAGGGUCAUGGGGUGGAGCACCUUGUACUGAGUGUGGA